rnacentral:rRNA from 1 species
AACGAACGCUGGCGGCAUGCCUAACACAUGCGAGUCGAACGAGACCUUCGGGUCUAGUGGCGCACGGGUGCGUAACGCGUGGGAACCUGCCCUUAGGUUCGGAAUAACUCCCCGAAAGGGGUGCUAAUACCGGAUAAUGUCUUCGGACCAAAGAUUUAUCGCCUUUGGAUGGGCCCGCGUUGGAUUAGCUAGUUGGUAGGGUAAAAGCCUACCAAGGCGACGAUCCAUAGCUGGUCUGAGAGGAUGAUCAGCCACACUGGGACUGAGACACGGCCCAGACUCCUACGGGAGGCAGCAGUGGGGAAUAUUGGACAAUGGGCGAAAGCCUGAUCCAGCAAUGCCGCGUGAGUGAUGAAGGCCUUAGGGUUGUAAAGCUCUUUUACCCGGGAUGAUAAUGACAGUACCGGGAGAAUAAGCGCCGGCUAACUCCGU